CUCGGUUGGUGCAGCCUCGGAGGGACCCGGCGCUCCCGUGGAAAGCCCGGCCGGCCGGGAGAGGAUCCCCGGGAGGUUGAGCAGCAAGGGGCUUCCGGACUCCCUUAGGCCAUCAAGCAGGACUCGCUCUCUGGUUUUUGCCGCUCUGGGCAGGUGUCUCUAUGGCACCUCCGGGUUUCUCUGCCGUAAAGCCGCGGCGGCGGGGGGGGCGUAAAGCGCGACUGUCGCGGAGAGCGGCGGCCGCGGAGGAGCCGGAAGGAGACGCGCGGCGCCGGUUGGGCGAUAAAAUGGCGGCGGCGCCUGGGCGUCCCGGGGGCAGCACCGGCGACGGGGCGGCGGGAGGAGGAGAAGGAACCGCCGCCGCCAGAGUCUGAUCGCCGGUUUCUCUGCGCCGGUUCCCGGGUAUUGCCGACCCUCCCCCGACGUAAGAGGCGGCAGGACAGGUGGG